rnacentral:rRNA from 1 species
GAGUUUGAUCCGUGGCUCAGGAUGAACGCUAGCUACAGGCUUAACACAUGCAAGUCGAGGGGCAGCAUGGUCUUAGCUUGCUAAGACUGAUGGCGACCGGCGCACGGGUGAGUAACACGUAUCCAACCUGCCGUCUACUCUUGGACAGCCUUCUGAAAGGAGAUUAAUACAAGAUGGCAUCAUGAGUCCGCAUGUUCACAUGAUUAAAGGUNUUCCGGUAGACGAUGGGGAUGCGUUCCAUUAGAUAGUAGGCGGGGUAACGGCCACCUAGUCUUCGAUGGAUAGGGGUUCUGAGAGGAAGGUCCCCCACAUUGGAACUGAGACACGGUCCAAACUCCUACGGGAGCA